UCGCCCAUCCCUUGGAGGACGGUCGCCGCGCCGUUGUGUUUUUCUUCUCCGCUGCUCUUCUGAGUGGUGGCUGACCUCGAGCGUUUGAGGAGCGUCAUGCGUGGGCAGCCCUGCGGAGGCGAACUCGCGAAGAAGGUUACGAUGCGGUCCCGAUAUAUCUUUUGCGUGGUUGCAUCUACAUGGAAAUAAUGUAACAAUCAGGAUGAUUAUUGUUGCAACGAUGUGUCUGUCGUCAACAAUGACACUACGGUACAACGAUGUACUGUUUUACUUGGCGUCAGUGAGCUUGAAUUUUGUGACA